rnacentral:rRNA from 1 species
UACGGGGGGAGCAAGCGUUGUUCGGAUUUACUGGGCGUAAAGGGCGCGUAGGCGGCCACCGCAAGUCAAUUGUGAAAUCUCCGGGCUUAACCCGGAAAGGUCAACUGAUACUGCGGGGCUAGAGUGCGGAAGGGGCAACUGGAAUUCUCGGUGUAGCGGUGAAAUGCGUAGAUAUCGAGAGGAACACCUGCGGCGAAGGCGGGUUGCUGGGCCGACACUGACGCUGAUGCGCGAAAGCCAGGGGAGCGAACAGG